UAGUAUUGGAUGGAUAGGGGUUCUGAGAGGAAGGUCCCCCACAUGAGAACUGAGACACGAUCCAAACUCCUACGGGAGGCAGCAGUGAGGAAUAUGGGUCAAUGGGCGAGAGUCUGAACCAGCCAAGUAGCGUGAAGGAUGACUGCCCUAUGGGUCGUAAACUUCUUUUAUAAAGGAAUAAAGUCGGGUAUGGAUACCCGUUUGCAUGUACUUUAUGAAUAAGGAUCGGCUAACUCCGUGCCAGCAGCCGCGGUAAUACGGAGGAUCCGAGCGUUAUCCGGAUUUAUUGGGUUUAAAGGGAGCGUAGAUGGAUGCUUAAGUCAGUUGUGAAAGUUUGCGGCUCAACCGUAAAAUUGCAGUUGAUACUGGAUAUCUUGAGUGCAGUUGAGGCAGGCGGAAUUCGUGGUGUAGCGGUGAAAUGCUUAGAUAUCACGAAGAACUCCGAUUGCGAAGGCAGCCUGCUAAGCUGCAACUGACAUUGAGGCUCGAAAGUGUGGGUAUCAAACAGGAUUAGAUACCCUGGUAGUCCACACGGUAAACGAUGAAUACUCGCUGUUUGCGAUAUACGGCAAGCGGCCAAGCGAAAGCGUUAAGUAUUCCACCUGGGGAGUACGCCGGCAACGGUGAAACUCAAGGGAAUUGACGGGGGCCCGCACAAGCGGAGGAACAUGUGGUUUAAUUCGAUGAUACGCGAGGAACCUUACCCGGGCUUAAAUUGCAGAUGAAUUACGGUGAAAGCCGUAAGCCGCAAGGCAUCUGUGAAGGUGCUGCAUGGUUGUCGUCAGCUCGUGCCGUGAGGUGUCGGCUUAAGUGCCAUAACGAGCGCAACCCUUGUUGUCAGUUACUAACAGGAUUUGCUGAGGACUCUGACAAGACUGCCAUCGUAAGAUGUGAGGAAGGUGGGGAUGACGUCCAAUCAGCACGGCCCUUACGUCCGGG
rnacentral:rRNA from 1 species